GUUUCCGUAGGUGAACCUGCGGAAGGAUCAUUAUUGGAUUUUGAAACUUCAGGCUGCUGCUGGCUCUCCUCGGAGGGCAUGUGCACGCUUGUUGUCCAUUAUUUCUCCCACUGUGCACAAAUUGUAGACCUUUCAGUAGGCCUAUGUUGUUUUUCACAAUCUCUGAAUGUAAUAGAAUGGUUUUGAAUCUUGGGAAAUACAAUACAACUUUCAGCAACGGAUCUCUUGGCUCUC
rnacentral:misc_RNA from 1 species